rnacentral:lncRNA from 1 species
AUACUGUGAAAGUACUUUAAUUCGUGGGUAUCAAUUUUCGUGGUUUGAGCAAUAUUAACAUGUUCGUGGGUUUUUAAAUUCGUGGAUUUUAAUUUUCUAAAAAAAAUAAAAUUGAAAAAUUGAAGCCUUUAGAAACGAGGGUUACAAAUAGUCUAGAUUGAAGGAAAUUGCAAAGUAAACAUUGACCCGUGUAAAUCGUAGUGAUAACACUAAUUAACCCAUGAUUAAGUGAUAAACAGAUUAAAGACCAUCAAAGGUGUUAAUUAGGCCAUUACCAUGUCACCUAAAGUAAACAGUAACAUAAACAAAUGCUAUGAAUUGCCAAAUAAUUCUUAUCAAAAUCAAGACCAGC